rnacentral:lncRNA from 1 species
CCUUUUCCAAAUCACAAAUUAAUUAACAAGAACAUCAACGAGGCACCUACUAUCAAGAAUUAGGAAAACCACUUUUCAAAUUACAGAAACUUAAAUCAAAAUUUGUAUAAGAGUUGCAUAGUCGAACCAAAAUCCAUAAUUUAUUGUAACUUUCCAUAUCUUACUAGCACAAUGUUUUGGCACAUGAAAGUACAUUGCAUCCAUCAUUUCCAUAGCAUUCACCAUACGCAACAACACGAUGCACGGGCGCAGUAACUUUUUUCAAAGUGGAAACCACGCCAUUCACAACUAAUCUUGCACAUAGUAACAUUGUUGGGUGUUGGUGUCUGGCAUGCUCGGAAAAGAUCACAUGAAGUCCACAAUCCAGUUGUACCUACGAACAACAAAGUAUAGCAUCCCGGUUCAUAUUAGGAUAUGCAGUAUAAAUUGCAUAAGUUCAGAUUAUAUGAGUAUCCAAGUUGUGAGCAUACAUCAUACAUAAGUGGACUAUUGUAAACAUAAACAAAGAGUGUACCUUUGUUUCUUGCAGUUGCUUGACAUGACCAUAAAGUGCUGGACAUCAUUAGAAGAACUACCAAACAUAGAGCCUGUGUGUUGUUCUUCAUAUGUGCCAUGAGGAGUGGAUUCUUAAUUCUUUUUCCUCCUAUCCCUAUAUUCUUAAUGGGUGAUGUUUCUUAUUGUGUUAUAUAUAAAGAGGCAUAAGUCUUGAAGGAUCCAUUCUUGCUCUUAUAACAUUUCUCACAUUAUUGUUUUGAGCAUCAUGAGAAAUAUCUUGUGAAGAUUGUGUUAUUAAAUGCCACCUAGAUUUUGAUAUUUGAAAUUAAUCACUACCCUGAAAUACCACACAUAUAGCACAUUACAUUGUGCGGCGCAAAAAAUGCAGAUUAAAUUGUUCAUCUUCCAGAAUUUAAUGUGUAUUUCCAUUAGUAGUUGUUCCAUCAUGUAGCAUAAUAGAUCCAGUUAAGAAAAACAUUUCUGAUAAUAAUCACGACAUUCUUUUCAUUUGGAUUCCACAAUAUUAACACAUUAUCUAUUAUAACUUCAGCAUUCAAUGUAACGAGCAGAAAAAGGCGCCUGAAAAUUACUAUAAACAAGUUCGCACAAACCAAGUUGACCCUUUGUUCUUUUGAGCAAAAACAAAAAAAUUGACCCUGUCUUGUGGGCCGAGAUAGGCCCAGGCACAUAAGGCCACAACACGGGGCUUGAAUUUUAUUGGGAAUCGUUUAGACACGGCGCGCCCGCCGAAGGUUGGGCUGGUCGCGCGCGAGCCGCGUGAUCGAUCUCGAUGGUGUGUCUCCCACGGCCACAAGCGCGGUAUGUUAUAUAAGCCAUGGGUCGGGCUUGUUGAGAGAUUAUCAUACAAUCCGUUGGUUCAUACCCUUACAUUGUACACUCAAAUCGCAAAAUAUACAUGAGCGGGAGUAGGGUAUUACCUCGAUCGUGAGGGCCUGAACCUGUGUAAACUCUACACCAUAUUUCCCCUUCGACCUGAUCACUACGCUGGGAUACCCUACCGAGGGAUCGGCAGGAUUUAGUUUCGACAAUCCCUAUGCUACUGAUGAGCCACAAGUUGUCGGUUACUGGAUGAGCCAUUGGGAAGCUUCCACACCAUCUCUAUUGGUUGGCGACCAUACGACCAUGAGUAGUGCAACGCAUCGCCCUCGAGAGAAUGAUUUUGCAUCAUUGGAGGUCUUUUCGCAUGAGUGAUUGGACUGUAACAACUUAUUAACACUAUCACGAAGGGGACCCUACCUGGUGCUAUAAUGAUUGAUUUAUGACAAUCCUUUUUCACAUGAUUUUAGAGAUUAAUUUAACCAUGAGGUUCAUAGCCUUGUUAAGGUGAGCACGCGAUAUUGGUUGGAUAUCAUGUAGGGCCUCUCCAGCCAACAAUUUUGCUUGUACCCUGAACAAUCCUAGAUCUAUAAAGAAAAUCAUGAGUGUAGUAUAAUUCCGCUCCAGGAAGAUUGAAUUGAUUGGUCGAAGUUCAUGUUGGGAAACGAAGCAUGCAAAUUCAAAAAAAUUCCUACGCUGACGCAAGAUCUAUCUAGGAGAUGCAUAGCAAUGAGAGGGGUAGAGUGUGUCCACGUACCCUCAUAGACCGAAAGCGUAAGCAUUAGCUUAACGCAGUUGAUGUACUCGAACAUCUUCUCGAUUCAACCGAUCAAGCACCGAACGUACGGCACCUCCGAGUUUUGCACAUGUUCAUAUCGAUGACGUCCCUCGUACUCUUGACCCAGUAGAGGUACGAAGGAGUAGAUGAGUUCCGUCAGCAUGACGGUGUGGUGACGGUGAUCCUGAUGUGAUCUGCACAGGGCUUCGCCUAAGCACUACGACAAUAUGUGUUGGGAAACGUAGCAUUCAAUUUCAAACAAAAAUCCUACGCUCACGCAAGAUAUCUAGGAGAUGCAUAGUAUCGAGAGGGGGGGAGUGUGUUCACGUACCCUCGUACCGAAAGCGGAAGCAUUAACUUAACGUGGUUGAUGUAGUCGAACGUCUUCUCGAAUCAACCGAUCAAGUACUGAACGUAUGUCACCUCCGAGUGCUGCACACGUUCAGCUCGAUGACGUCCCUCGAACUCUUGAUCCAAUAGAGGCACGAAGGAGUUGAUGAGUUCCGUCAGCAUGACAGCGUGAUGACGGUGUUUGUGAAGUGAUCCGCGCAGGGCUUCGCCUAAGCACUAUGACAAUAUGACCGGAGGAGUAAACGGUGGAGGGGGCACCGCACACGGCUAAACAAUUGAUGUGUCUAGAGGUGCCCCCNNNNNNNNNNNNNNNNNNNNNNNNNNNNNNNNNNNNNNNNNNNNNNNNNNNNNNNNNNNNNNNNNNNNNNNNNNNNNNNNNNNNNNNNNNNNNNNNNNNNNNNNNNNNNNNNNNNNNNNNNNNNNNNNNNNNNNNNNNNNNNNNNNNNNNNNNNNNNNNNNNNNNNNNNNNNNNNNNNNNNNNNNNNNNNNNNNNNNNNNNNNNNNNNNNNNNNNNNNNNNNNNNNNNNNNNNNNNNNNNNNNNNNNNNNNNNNNNNNNGCACGCCAUGGGGGGAGUCCUACUAGGACUCCUAGUCCUAGUCGCCACCCCCUUCCUUCUAACGGAGGGGGAAAGGGGGAAGGAGAGGGAGAGGGAGAAGGAAAGUGGGGUGGCGCCCCCUUCCCUAGUCUAAUUCGGCCUCCUCCCUUCUAUGGGGGGGGGGAGGGGGUGAACCAACCCCUUGUGGGCUGGUUAGCCUCCCUCCUAUGGCCCAUAUGGCCCAUAUCUUCCACCGAGGGGUUCCGAUAACCCCUCUGGUACUCCGGUUUGUACCCGAUACACUCCGAAACCCUUCUGGUGUCCGAAUACCACCUUCCAAUAUACCACGUACGGGUUCGAGAACUAUGUAGACAUGACCGAGACACCUCUCCCGUCAAUAACCAAUAGCGGAACCUGGAUGCUCAUAUUGGUUCCCACAUAUUCUAGGAAGAUCUUUAUCGCUCGAACCGCAAUGUCAACAUACGUUAUUCCCUUUGUCAUCGGUAUGUUACUUGCCAGAGAUUCGAUCGUCGGUAUCUCCAUACCUAGUUCAAUCUCGUUACUGGCAAGUCUCUUUACUCGUUCCAUAGUGCAUCAUCCCGCAACUAACUCAUUAGUCACAUUGCUUGCAAGGCUUCAUAUGAUGUGCAUUACCGAGAGGGCCCAGAGAUACCUCUCCAUUACUCGGAAUAACAAAUCCUAAUCUCAAUCUAUGCCAACCCAACAAACACCUUCGGAAAUACCUGUAGAGUAUCUCAAUUAUAAUCACCCAGUUACGUUGUGACGUUUGAUAACACACAAGGCAUUCCUCCGGUACCUGGGAGUUGCAUAAUCUCAUAGUCAGAGGAAUAUGUAUUUGACAUGAAGAAAGCAAUAGCAAUAAAACUGGACGAUGAUAUGUCUCCAACGUAUCUAUAAUUUAUGAAGCAUUCAUGCUAUUAUAUUAUUUGUUUGGAUGAUUAUGGGAUUUAUUAUACACUUUUAUAUUAUUUUUGGGACUAACCUAUUAACCGAAGGCACAACCCAUAUUGCUGUUUUCUUGCCUAUUUCAGUGUUUCGAAGAAAAAGGAAUAUCAAACGGAGUCCAAACGGAAUGAAACCUUCGGGAGCGUUAUUUUUGGAAUGGAUGUGAUCCAGGAGACUUGGAGUUGAAGUCAAGGAAGCUUCGAGGUGGCAACGAGGGUGGGGGCGCCCCCCCUACUGGGCGCGCCCCCCUGUCUCGUGGGCCCCUCGAGCGUCCCCUGACCGACUUUUUUCGCCUAUAUAAGUCCAUAUACCCUAAUACCUUCGGAGAGCACAAUAGAUUGGGAGUUCCGCCGCCGCAAGCCUCUGUAGCCACCAAAAACCUCUCGGGAGCCCUGAUACGUCUCCGUCGUAUCUACUUUUCCAAACACUUUUGCCCUUGUUUUGGUCUCUAACUUGUAUGAUUUGAAUGGAACUAACCCGAACUGACGUUGUUUUCAGCAGAACUGCCAUGGUGUUGUUUUUUGUGCAGAAUAUAAAAAUUCUCGGAAUGUCCUGAAACUCCACGGAACACCUUAGAAAAAAUAAAGAAAAAUCCUUGCAAAAGAUGAAGACCAGAGGGCCCACACUUUGCUCACGAGGGUGGGGGCGCGCCCCCUACCUCGUGGGCCCCCUGGUGGCCCUCCGACGCCAAGUCCAACUCCAUAUAUUGGCUUUCAGGGAGAAAAAAAUCAGAGAGAAGAAAUCAUCGCGUUUUACGAUACGGAGCCGCCGCCAAGCCCUAAUCUCUCUCGGGAGGGCUGAUCUGGAGUCCAUUCGGGGCUCCGGAGAGGGGGAUUCGUCGCCGUCAUCAUCAUCAACCAUCCUCCAUCACCAAUUUCAUGAUGCUCACCGCCAUGCGUGAGUAAUUGCAUCGUAGGCUUGCUAGACGGUGAUGGGUUGGAUGAGAUUUAUCAUGUAAUCGAGUUAGUUUUGUUAGGGUUUGAUCCGUAAUAUCCAUUAUGUUCUGAGAUUGAUGUUGCUAUGACUUUGCUAUGCUUAAUGCUUGUCACUAGGGCCCGAGUGCCAUGAUUUCAGAUCUGAACCUAUUAUGUUUUCAUGAAUAUAUGUGUGUUCUAUAUCCUAUCUUGCAAGUCUAUAGUCACCUACUAUGUGUUAUGAUCCGGCAACCCCGAAGUGACAAUAAUCGGGACCACUCCCGGUGAUGACCAUAGUUUGAGGAGUUCAUGUAUUCGCUAUGUGCUAAUGCUUUGUUCCGGUUCUCUAUUAAAAGGAUGCCUUAAUAUCCCUUAGUUUCCAAUAGGACCCCGCUGCCACGGGAGGGUAGGACAAAAGAUGUCAUGCAAGUUCUUUUCCAUAAGCACGUAUGACUAUAUGCGGAAUACAUGCCUACAUUACAUUGAUGAACUGGAGCUAGUUCUGUGUCACCCUAUGUUAUGACUGCUACAUGACGAACCACAUCCAGCAUAAUUAUCCAUCGCUAAUCCGGUGCCUACGAGUUUUCCAUAUACUAGUUUACGCUUAUUUACUUUUUCAUUGCUGCUGUCACAAUCACUACAAAACACCAAAAACAUUACCUUUACUAUCUUUGAUUUUGUUACCGUUACCACCACUAUCAUAUUACUUUGCUACUAAACACUUUGCUACAGAUACUAAGUUUUCAGGUGUGGUUGAAUUGACAACUAAGCUGCUAAUACUUGAGAAUAUUCUUUGGCUCCCCUUGUGUCGAAUCAAUAAAUUUGGGUUGAAUACUCUACCCUCGAAAACUGUUGUGAUUCCCUAUACUUGUGGGUUAUCAAGCCCUUUUUGGCACCCUGCCGGAGGGGGAACCCAUCACCGGUGGUCAUCUUCAUCAUCCUGGCGCUCUCCAUGACGAGGAGGGAGUAGUUCACCCUCGGGGCUGAGGGUAUAUACCAGUAGCUAUGUGUUUGAUCUCUCUCUCUCUCUCUCUCUCUCUCUCUCUCUCUCUCGUGUUCUCUCUAUGGCACGAUCUUGAUGUAUCGCGAGCUUUGCUAUUAUAGUUGGAUCUUAUGGUGUUUCUCCCCCUCUACUCUCUUGUAAUGAAUUGAGUUUUCCCUUUGAAGUUAUCUUGUCGGAUUGAGUCUUUAAGGAUUUUAGAACACUUGAUGUAUGUCUUGCCGUGCUUAUCUGUGGUGACAAUGGGAUAUCACGUGAUCCACUUGAUGUAUGUUUUGGUGAUCAACUUGCGGGUUCCGCCCAUGAACCUAUGCAUAGGGGUUGGCACACGUUUUCAUCUUGACUCUCCGGUAGAAACUUUGGGGCACUCUUUGAAGUACUUUGUGUUGGUUGAAUAGAUGAAUCUGAGAUUGUGUGAUGCAUAUCGUAUAAUCAUACCCACGGAUACUUGAGGUGACAAUGGAGUAUCUAGGUGACAUUAGGGUUUUGGUUGAUUUGUGUCUUAAGGUGUUAUUCUAGUAUGAACUCUAUGAUAGAUUGAACGAAAAGAAUAGUUUCGUGUUAUUUUACUACGGACUCUUGAAUAGAUAGAACAGAAAGGAUAACUUUGAGGUGGUUUCAUACCCUACCAUAAUCUCUUCGUUUGUUCUCCUCUAUUAGUGUCUUUGGAGUGACUCUUUGUUGCAUGUUGAGGGAUAGUAUUAUAUGAUCCAAUUAUGCUAUUAUUGUUGAGAGAACUUGCACUAGUGAAAGUAUGAACCUUAGGCCUUGUUUCCUGCCACUGAAAUACCAUUUACGCUCGCUUUUAUCGCUUGCUACCUUGCUGUUUUUAUAUUUUUUGAUUACAAAAACCUAUAUCUACCAUCCAUAUUGCACUUGUAUCACCAUCUCUUCGCCGAACUAGUGCACCUAUACAAUUUACUAUUGUAUUGGGUGUGUUGGGGACACAAGAGACUCUUUGUUAUUUGGUUGCAGGGUUGCUUGAGAGAGACCAUCUUCAUCCUACACCUCCCACGGAUUGAUAAACCUUAGGUCAUCCACUUGAGGGAAAUUUGCUACUGUCCUACAAAUCUCUGCACUUGGAGGCCCAACAACGUCUACAACAAGAAGGUUGUGUAGUAGACAUCAAGCUCUUUUCUGGCGCCGUUGCCAGGGAGGUGAGUGCUUGAAGGUAUAUCUUUAGAUCUUGCAAUCGAAUAUUUUUGUUUCUUGUUUUAUCACUAGUUUAGUCUAUAAAGAAAACUACAAAAAAAUGGAAUUGAGUUUGUCUCUUAUGCUUCAUCCUUUGAAUAUCUUUCAUAAGUAUGAUGGUAAGGAAAAUUGUGCUCAAGUGCUACAAGAAGAAGUCUAUAAAAUAUUUGCCAUAAAAUAUUUGAAUGAUGAGCAUGAUUGCAAUGUUGUUAGUAUGAAUUCCUUGAAUAUCCAUGAUGCUAAUGAUAUGCAAAGCCUCAAGCUUGGGGAAGCUAUGUUUGAUGAAGAUGAUAUUUUUUGUUCCCCAAGUUUUGAUGAGAAUAUUUAUUAUGAUGAUAGCAUGCCUCCUAUUUAUGAUGAUUAUAUUGAUGAAAGUGGAUUUGGAGAGGUCAUGACUUUAUUUAGUGAUGAAUCCACUAUUUCGGAAGAGGUUCCAAUUGAUUUUGAGAACACAGUUGCUAUCUAUGAUGAUUAUUGUGAUGACUUGUAUGCUAUGAAGAAUAAUGAUAACCAUGAAACUUUUCAUCAUGAUUUUAUUUUUCAAUUGGAUUAUGCCUCACAUGAUAUUUAUUUUGUUCAGUUUGCUCCCACUAGUAUUCAUGAGAAGAAUUUUGCUUAUGUGGAGAGUAAUAAAAUUUCUAUGCAAGUAGAUCAUGAAAAGAAUGCUUUAGGUGCUGGUUAUAUUGUUGAACUCAUUCAUUAUGCUACUGAAAAUUAUUAUGAGGGAGGAACAUAUGCUUGUAGGAAUUGCAAUAAUGUCAAGUUUCCUCUCUAUGUGUUGAAUAUCUUGAAGCUAUGCUUGUUUUACCUUCCUAUGCUAGUUGAUUAUUGUUCCCAUAAGUUGUUUGAUCACAAAAUCCCUAUGCAUAUGAAGUGGGUUAGACUUAAAUGUGCUAGUCAUAUUCUUCAUGAUGCUCUCUUUAUGUCUCAAUUCUUAUCUUUUAUGUGAGCAUCAUUGAUAUCAUCGUGCCUAGCUAGGGGCGUUAAACGUUAGCGCUUGUUGGGAGGCAACCCAAUUUAUUUUUGUUCCUGUUUAGUAAUAAAUAAUUCAUCUAGACUCUGGUUAUAUGUGGUUUUAUGUUUAUAUUAGUGUUUGUUCCAAGUAGAACCUUUGGGAAGACUUGGGUGAAGUCUUAUGAUCUUGCUGUAAAAAACAGAAACUUUUGCGCUCACGAGAUUAGCUGCCAUUUUUUUACUGGAGAGUAUUUUUAGGUUGAUUCUUUUUGCAGAUGAUUAAUAUACAAAUUCCUAAGGUCCACCAAUUUAUUUCAGAAUUUUUGGAGUAACAGAAAUAUUCGAAUGAUACAGAUUACUACAGACUAUUAUGUUUUCGACAGAUUCUGUUUUCUAUGUGUUGUUUGCUUACUUUGAUAAAUCUAUGAGUAGUAUCGUAGGGUAUGAACCAUAGAGAAGUUGAAAUACAGUAGGUUUAAAACCAAUAUGAAUUUAUAAUGAGUUCACAACAGUACCUAAGUGGUGGUUUUAUUCUCUUAUACUAACGGAGCUUACGAGUUUUGUGUUGUGAAGUUUUCAAGUUUUGGGUGAAGUUUCAAUGGAUUACGGAAUAAGGAGUGGCAAGAGCCUAAGCUUGGGGAUGCCCAAGGCACCCCAAGGUAAUAUUCAAGGACAACCAAGACCCUAAGCUUGGGGAUGCCCCGGAUGGCAUCCCCUCUUUCGUCUUCGUUCAUCGGUAACUUUACUUGGAGCUAUAUUUUUAUUCACCACAUGAUAUGUGUUUUGCUUGGAGCGUCAUUUUAUUUUGUUAGUAUUUGCUUACUGUUAUUUAGAAUAUGUUUUGCAUCUAUAUUUUCAAUAAGAAUGUCAGGGACAGCCUUUACCAUGCUUAUUUUGCAAGUAUACAUGUUGCUGUUUCAAAAAAGAAAGUUUACCGCUGUUGCAAAAAUUCCAAAGAAAAGCCAGAGAAUGAUCUAAUGUUAAAACUUUUUGCAUAUUGAGCUCUGAUUAAUAUUCUACAGCAUAGUAUUUUUCUCAUAAUUUUUGGAGUUAGGGAAGUAUGAUGAAUCUUGCAUUCUUUACAGACUAUACUGUUUUGGCAGAUUGCUAUUAUGUUUGUAUUGUUUGCAUAUGUUUGCUUGUUUAAUGAUUCUAUUUGAUGAUAGGAGUAUUAAAUAUGCAGAGACAUUUAGUAUGCAAUGUUGAAUAAUAAUUUUUAUGAUUUGCUACUGUAUAGAAUGAUAAGGUUUUGGAUUGGUUUAUACUAACUUAUCUCACGAGUUCUUGUUGAGUUUGGUGUGGAUGAAGCUUUCAAGAUUUAGGAAACCGAGAUAUAAAAGGAAUUAAGGAGACACAAAAGCUCAAGCUUGGGGAUGCCCAAGGCACCCCAAGAUAAUAUUUCAAGAAGUCUCAAGCAUCCAAGUUUGGGGAUGCCCCGGUAGGUAUCCCACCUUUCUUCUUCAAACAAUUAUCGGUUAGUAUCGGUUGAGCCUAAGUUUUUGCGUGCUAUCCUUGAAAUGUCAUUUUGUUUUGCUUUGCUUGCUGUAUAAAUAAAAUACCAAGAUGUGAAAUUCUUAAAUGAUAGAGAGUCUUCACAUAGUUACAUAAUUAUUUAACUACUCAUUGAUCUUCACUUAUAUCUUUUUGGAGUAGUUUGUUAUUUACUCGUGUGCUUCACUUAUAUCCUAUGAGUAAAUGGUUGAAUGAGUUGAAUGUCAUAAAUCUGAAAUUAUAUAUGUCUCAUUUGCUUAUUCCAUGGGGAGUAAUGACUUCACAUCUAAGAAGUAGAGGUUGUAAAUUUAUUGAAGGUUAGCAAGCAUUAUAUUGGUCAUUUGAACAAUUCAUGAAAGAAUAUUGAAGGAAGAGAGAUUUCACAUAUAAAUAUACUACCUUGGACAUCUUUUAUAAUUGUGAACACUCAUUAAGUAUGACAUGCUAAAGAGUUGAUGUUGGAAAAGGAAGACAACGUAAUGGGUUAUGUUUUCUCAUAUCUCAGUUAAAGUAUAUUGUCAUGGAUCAUUCAAACAUGUUGAGCUUGCCUUUCCCCCUCAUGCUAGCCAAAAUUCCUUGCACCAAGUAGAGAUACUACUUGUGCUUCCAAAUAUCCCUUAAACUAGUUUUGCCAUGAGAGUCCACCAUACCUACCUAUGGAUUGAGUAAGAUCCUUCAAGUAAGUUGUCAUGGUGCAUGCAAUAAAAAUUGCUCUCUAAAUAUGUAUGAUCUAUUAGUGUGAAGAAAAUAAGCUUUAUACGAUCUUGUUAUGGAAGCAAUAAAAGCGACAGACUGCAUAAUAAAGGUACAUAUACAAGUGGCAAUAUAAAGUGUUAUUCUUUUGCAUUAAGAUGUUAUGCAUCCAACCAUAAAAGAGCAUGACAACCUCUGCUUCCCUCCGCGAAGGGCCGAUCUUUUACUUCAUGUCUUUUACUUUAUGUAAGAGUAAAGGUGAUCUUCACCUUUCCCUUUUUCAUUUUAUCCUUUGGCAAGCACCUCGUGUUGGAAAGAUCUUGAUAUAUAUAUAUAUAUAUAUAUAUAUAUAUAUAUAUAUAUAUAUAUAUAUAUAUAUAUAUCCAAUUGGAUGUAAGUUAGCAUGAACUAUUAUUGUUGACAUCACCCAAAGGUGAAUACGUUGGGAGGCAACACUAUAAGCCCCUAUCUUUCUCAAUGUCAGAUUAAAACUCCAUAACCACAAGUAUUGCAUGAUUGUUAGUAAUUGUAGAAGACUAUAUGAUAGUUGAGUAUGUGGAGUUUGCUAAAUGAAAGCUCUGACAUAGACACUUCCUAAAAAUAAGAUGAAUUGCAAUUUUUUGAUGACUAAGGAUGAAGUUUGCUAGUUUUCAAGAAAGUUUAUGGUCUAUGAUUUAACAUGUGAAUAGCUUGUUACUUGAUCUUGAGAAAGUUUUAUGAGAUGAACUACUGUUAUGACAUAUAAUCAUGCUAGAAAAGGUGAUUGAAAUUAUCAUUGAUCAAACUUGUGCACCUACUAGCAUUCACACUUCAUAAAUUCUUUCUUUUAUCAUUUACCUACUCGAGGACGAGCAGGAAUUAAGCUUGGGGAUGCUGAUACGUCUCCAACGUAUCUAUAAUUUGUGAAGCAUCCAUGCUAUUAUAUUAUCUGUUUGGAUGAUUAUGUGAUUUAUUAUACACUUUUAUAUUAUUUUUGGGACUAACCUAUUAACCGGAGGCACAGCCCAUAUUGCUGUUUUCUUGCCUAUUUCAGUGUUUCGAAGAAAAGGAAUAUCAAAUGGAGUCCAAACGGAAUGAAACCUUCGGGAGCGUUAUUUUUGGAAUGGAUGUGAUCCAGGAGACUUGUAGUUCAAGUCAAGGAAGCUUAGAGGUGGCCACGAGGGUGGGGGGAGCCCCCCCCCACAAGGCGCGCCACCCUGUCUCGUGGGCCCCUGGAGCAUCCCCUGACCGACUUCUUUCGCCUAUAUAAGUCCAUAUAUCCUAAAACCUUCGGAGAGCACAAUAGAUCGGGAGUUUCGCCGCCACAAGCUUCUGUAGCCACCAAAAACCUCCCGGGAGCCCUUUCCGGCACCCUGCCGGAGGGGGAACCCAUCACCGGUGGUCAUCUUCAUCAUCCCGGCGCUCUCCAUGACGAGGAGGGGGUAGUUCACCCUCAGGGCAGAGGGUAUGUACCAGUAGGUAUCAGUUUGAUCUCUCUCUCUCUCGUGUUCUCUCUAUGGCACGAUCUUGAUGUAUCGCGAGCUUUGCUAUUAUAGUUGGAUCUUAUGAUGUUUCUCCCCCUCUACUCUCUUGUAAUGAAUUGAGUUUUCCCUUUGAAGUUAUCUUGUCAGAUUGAGUCCUUAAGGAUUUGAGAACACUUGAUGUAUGUCUUGCCGUGCUUAUCUGUGGUGACAAUGGGAUAUCACGUGGUCCACUUGAUGUAUGUUUUGGUGAUCAACUUGCGGGCUCCGCGCAUGAACCUAUGCAUAGGGGUUGGCACACGUUUUCAUCUUGACUCUCCGGUAGAAACUUUGGGGCACUCUUUGAAGUACUUUGUGUUGGUUGAAUAGAUGAAUCUGAGAUUGUGUGAUGCAUAUCGUAUAAUCGUACCCAUGGAUACUUGAGGUGACAAUGGAGUAUCUAGGUGACAUUAGGGUUUUGGUUGAUUUGUGUCUUAAGGUGUUAUUCUAGUAUGAACUCUAUGAUAGAUUGAACGGAAAGAAUAGCUUCGUGUUAUUUUACUACGGACUCUUGAAUAGAUAGAACAGAAAGGAUUACUUUGAGGUGGUUUCGUACCCUACCAUAAUCUCUUCGUUUGUUCUCCGCUAUUAGUGUCUUUGGAGUGACUCUUUGUUGCAUGUUGAGGGAUAGUAUGAUAUGAUCCAGUUAUGCUAUUAUUGUUGAGAGAACUUGCACUGGUGAAAGUAUGAACCUUAGGCCUUGUUUCCUACCAUUGCAAUACCAUUUACACUCACUUUUAUCGCUUGCUACCUUGCUGUUAUUAUAUUUUUAGAUUACAAAAACCUAUAUCUACCAUCCAUAUUGCACUUAUAUCACCAUCUCUUCGUCGAACUAGUGCACCUAUACAAUUUACCAUUGUAUUGGGUGUGUUGGGGACACAAGAGACUCUUUGUUAUUUGGUUGCAGGGUUUCUUGAGAGAGACCAUCUUCAUCCUAUGCCUCCCACGGAUUGAUAAACUUAGGUCGUUCACUUGAGGGAAAUUUGCUACUGUCCUACAAACCUCUGCACUUGGAGGCCCAACAACGUCUACAAGAAGAAGUUGUGUAGUAGACAUCAGACGAUCAUUAUGCUAAGCUAACGGAUGGAUCUUGUCCGUCACAUCAUUCUCCUAAUGAGGUGAUCUCAUUCAGCAAAUGACAACACAUGUCCAUGGCUAGGAAACUUAACCAUCUUUGAUCAACGAGCUAGUCAAGUAGAGGCAUACUAGGGACAUAGUGUUUUGUCUAUGUAUUCACACAUGUAUCAAGUUUCCGGUUAAUACAAUUCUAGCAUGAAUAAUAAACAUUUAUCAUGAUAUAAAUAAAUAUAAAAUAACAACUUUAUUAUUGCCUCUAGGGCAUAUUUCCUUCAGUCUCCCACUUGCACUAGAGUCAAUAAUCUAGUUCACAUAUUUAUGUGCUUAACACCCAUAGUUCACAUCGCCGUGUGACCAACACCCAAAGGGUAUACUAGAGUCAAUAAUCUAGUUCACAUCGCUAUGUGUUUAACACCCAAAGAGUACUAAGGUGUGAUCAUGUUUUCCUUGUGAGAGAAGUUUAGUCAAGGGGUCCGCCACAUUCAAAGCCGUAUGUAUUUUGCAAAUUAUCUAUGUCUACAAUGCUUUGCAUGGAGCUACUUUAGCUAAUUGCUCCCACUUUCAAUAUGUAUCUAGAUUGAGACUCAAAGUCAUCCGGAUUGGUGUAAAAGCUUGCAUCGACGUAACUCUUUAUGACGAACUCUUUAUCACCUCCAAAACUAAGAGAUAUUUCCUUAGUCCUCUUAGGUAACUAAGGAUAAUCUUUGACCGUUGUCCAGUGAUCCACUACUGGAUCACUAUCGUACCCCCUUGCCAAACUCAUGAUAAGGUACACAAUAGGUCUGGUACACAGCAUAGCAACAUUUAUAGAACCUAUGGUUGAGGCACAGGGAAUGACUUUCAUUCUCUUUUUAUUUUCUGCUGUGGUUGCGUUUUGAGUCUUACUCAACUUUACACCUUGCAACACAGGCAAGAACUCCUUCUUUGACUAUUCCAUUUUGAACUACUUCAAAAUCUUUGUCAGGGUAUGUACUCACUGAAAAAUAUUAUCAAGCAUAUUGAUCUAUGUCUAUAGGUCUUGAUGCCCAAUAUGUAAGCAGCUUCACCGAUGUCUUUUCUUGAAAAACUCCUUUCAAACUCUCCUUUAUGCUUUCCAGAAAAUUCUACAUCAUUUCCGAUCAACAAUAUGUCAUUCACAUAUACUUAUCAGAAAGGCUAUAGUGCUCCCACUCAGUUUCUUGUAAAUACAGGUUUCUUCACAAGUCUGUAUAAAACUAUAUGCUUUGAUCAACUCAUCAAAGCAUAUAUUCCAACUCCGAGAUGCUUGCACCAGUCCAUAGAUGGAUUUCUGGAGCUUGCACAUUUUGUUAGCACCUUUAGGAUUGAUAAAAUCUUUUGGUUGCAUCAUAUACAACCCCUUUUUUUAUAAAUCCAUUAAGGAAUGCAGUUUUGAUAUCCAUUUGCAAGAUUUCAUAAAAUGUGGCAAUUGCUAACAUGAUUCGCACAGACUUAAGCAUCGCUACGAGUGAGAAACUCUUAUCGUAGUCAACGCCUUGAACUUGUGGAAAACCUUUUGCGACAAGUCGAGCUUUGUAGAUAGUAACACUACCAUUAUCAUCCGUCUUUCUCUUGAAGAUCCAUUUGUUCUCAAUGGCUUGCCGAUCAUCGGGCAAGUCCACCAAAGUCUACAGUUUGUUCUCAUACAUGGAUCCUAUCUCAGAUUUCAUGGCCUCAAGUCAUUGAAUCUGGGCUCACCAGAGCUUCUUCAUAGUUCGUAGGUUCGUCAUGGUCAAGUAACAUGGCCUCUAGAACUGGAUUACCGUACCACUCUGGUGUGGAUCGUGCUCUGUUUGACCUACGAGAUUCUGUAGCAACUUGAUCUAGAGUUUCAUGAUCUUUAUCAUUAGCUUCCUCUCCAGUAGGUGUAGGCAUCACGGGAACAAAUUUCUCAGAUGAGCUACCUUCCAAAUUGAGAGUAGCUACAAUUACCUCAUCAAGUUCUACUUCCCUCCCACUCACUUCUUUCGAGAGAAACUCCUUCUCUAGAAAGAUUCCGUUCUUAGCAACAAAAAUCUUGCGUUCGGACUUGUGGUAGAAGGUGUACCCAAUUGUUUCCUUAGGGUAUCCUAUGAAGACGCACUUCUUCGAUUUGGGUUUGAGCUUAUCAGGCUGAGGCCUUUUGGCAUAAGCAUUGCAUCCCCAAACUUUAAGAAACGACAACUUAGGUUUGUUGUCAAACCACAGUUCAUACGGUGUGGAUUUUGACGGUGCCCUGUUUAACGUGAAUGCAGCUGUCUUUAAUGCAUAUCCCCAAAACGAUAGUGGUAAAUCGGUAAGAGACAUCAUAGAUCACACCAUAUCUAAAAAGUGCGGUUACGAUGUUCGGACACACCAUUAUGCUAUGCUGUUCCAGGUAGCUUGAGCUGUGAAACUAUUCCACAUUGUUUUAAUGAAGGCCAAACUCGUAACUCAAAUAUUCACCUCCACGAUCAGAUCAUAGAAACUUUAUUUUUUUUGUUACGAUGAUUCUCCACUUCACUCUAAAAUUCUUUGAACUUUUCAAAUGUUUCAGACUUGUGUUUCAUUAAGUAGAUAUACCCAUAUCUGCUCAAAUCAUCUGUGAAGGUCAGAAAAUAACGAUACUCGCCACGAGCUUCAACACUCAUCGGACUGCAUAUAUCGAUAUGUAUUAUUUUUAAUAAGUCAUUAGCUCGUUCCAUUGUUCUGGAGAACUGAGUUUUAGUCAUCUUGCCCAUAAGGCAUGGUUCGCAAGUAUCAAAUGAUUCAUAAUCAAGUGAUUCCAAAAGUCAAUUUGCAUGGAAUUUCUUCAUGCGCUUUACACCGAUAUGACCUAAACAACACUGCCACAAAUAUGUUGCACUAUUAUUAUCAACUUUGCAUCUUUUGGCAUCAAUAUUAUGAAUAUGUGUAUCACUAUGAUCGAGAUUCAAUAAACCAUUAACAUCAGGUGUAUGACCAUAUAAGGUUUUAUUCAUGCAAAUAGGAUAAAAUUUAUUCUCUGUCUUGAAUGAAUAACCGUAUUGCAAUAAACACGAUCCUAUCAUGUUCAUGCUCAACGCAAACACAAAAUAACAUUUAUUUAGGUUCAACACUAAUCCAGAAAGUAUAGGGAGUGUGUGAGAUGAUGAUCAUAUCAAUCUUGGAACCACUUCCAACACACAUCGUCACUUCACCCUCAACUAGUCUCCAUUUAUUUGACAACUCCUGUUUUGAGUUACAAAUCUUAGCAACCGAAUAGGUAUCAAAUACACAGGGGCUACUACGAGCACUAGUAAGGUACACAUCAAUAACAUGUAUAUCAAAUAUACCUUUGUGCACAUUGCCAUCCUUCUUAUCCGCCAAAUAUUUGGGGUAGUUCCGCUUCCAGUGACCAUUUCCUUUGCAGUAGAAGCACUGAGUUUCAGGCUUAGGUCUAGCUUUGGGAUUCUUCACGGGAGUGACAACUUGCUUGCCAUUCUUUUUGAAGUUCCCUUUCUUUCCCUUUGCCCUUUUCUUGAAACUAGUGGUCUUGUUUAAUCAUCAACACUUAAUUCUUUUUCAUUAUUUCAACCUUCAUUGAUUUCAGCAUCACGAAAAGCUCGGGUAUUGCUUUUGUCAUCCCUUGCAUAUUAUAGUUCAUCAUGAAGUUCUAGCAACUUGGUGAUAGUGACUAGAGAACUCUGUCAAUUACUAUAUUAUCUGGAAGAUUAACUCCCACUUGAUUCAAGCAAUUGUAGUACUCAGACAUUCUGAGCACAUGCUCACUGAUUGAGCUAUUCUCCUCCAUCUUGUAGGUGAAAUAUGAUACGUCUCCAACGUAUCUACUUUUCGAAACACUUUUGCUCUUGUUUUGGACUCUAACUUGCAUGAUUUGAAUGAAACUAACCCGGACUGACGUUGUUUUCAGCAGAACUGCCAUGAUGUUGUUUUAUGUGUAGAAAAGAAAAGUUCUCGGAAGGUCCUGGAAAUCCACGGAGGCACUUUUCAGAUUUAAUAAGAAUUUUUGGUGAAAGAAUCAAGGUCAGGGGGCCCACGGGCUGUCCCCGAGAUAGGGGGGCGCCCCCCUCCCUAGGGGCGCGCCCUCCUAUCUCGUGGGCCCCCCAGACCUCCUCCGACAUCAACUCCAGCUCCAUAUAUACCGUCUCGGGGAGAAAAAAAUCAAGGAGAAAGUUUCAUCACGUUUCAUGACACGGAGCCGCCGCCAAGCCCUAAUCUCUCUCGAGAGGGAUGAUCUGGAGUCCGUUCGGGGCUCCGAAGAGGGGAAUUCAUUGUCGUCAUCAUCAUCAACCAUCCUCCAUCACCAAUUUCAUGAUGCUCACCGCCGUGCGUGAGUAAUUCCAUCGUAGGCUUGCUGGACGGUGAUGGGUUGGAUGAGAUUUACCAUGUAAUCAAGUUAGUUUUGUUAGGGUUUGAUCCCUAGUAUCCACUAUGUUCUGAGAUUGAUGUUGCUAUGACUUUGCUAUGCUUAAUGCUUGUCACUAGGGCCUGAGUGCCAUGAUUACAGAUCUGAACCUAUUAUGUUUUCAUGAAUAUAUGUGUGUUCUUGAUCCUAUCUUGCAAGUCUAUAGUCACCUAUUAUGUGUUAUGAUCCGACAACCCCGAAGUGACAAUAAUCGGGAUACUUCUCGGUGAUGACCGUAGUUUGAGAACUUCAUGUAUUCACUAUGUGUUAAUGCUCUGGUCCGGUUCUCUAUUAAAAGGAGGCCUUAAUAUCCCUUAGUUUCCACUAGGACCCCGAUGCCACGGGAGGGUAGGACAAAAGAUGUCAUGCAAGUUCUUGUCUAUAAGCACGUGUGACUAUUUACGGAAUACAUGCUUACAUUACAUUGAUGAAUUGGAGCUAGUUCUAUAUCACCCUAUGUUAUAACUAUUGCAUGAGGAAUCGCAUCCGGCAUAAUUAUCCAUCACUGAUCCAUUGCCUACGAGCUUUUCACAUAUUGUUCUUCGCUUAUUUACUUUUCCGUUGCUACUGUUACAACUACUACAAAAACCCAAAAACAUUUACCUUUUCUAUUGCUACCGUUACCAUUACUAUCAUACCACUUUUGCUACUAAACACUUUGUUGCAGAUACUAAAUUAUCCAGGUGUGGUUGAAUUGACAACUCAACUGCUAAUACUCAAGAAUAUUCUUUGGCUCCCCCUGUGCCGAAUCAAUAAAUUUGGGUUGUACUUCACCCUCAAAAGCUGUUGUGAUCCCCUACACUUGUGGGUUAUCAAGACUAAUUUCUGGCGCCAUUGCCGGGGAGCAUAGCUCUAUUCUCUGAGUCGCUUGGGAUUUAUAUCUGUUGAUCACUAUGAAGAACUUGAAAGACGCUAAGACCAAGAUUUAUCCCUCAACUACAAUGGGAGGUAAGGAACUGUCAUCUAGCUCUGCACUAGAUUCUCCUUCCGUUAUUAGUAGGCUUGCGACACCUAAACCUGCUACUACUAUGAAUUCUGAUAUGUCGCAUGUUAUUGAUGAUGCCACUUCUGCUAUGCAUGAAGAAACUACUUCUGUGCGUGAUACUACUUUGCCAUUAGGUGAAUUUCUUGAUGAACAACUUGCUAGAGUUAAGGGGAAUGAAAAUAUUGAAGAUGCUAUUGAUGACGAACGUUCCCCCAAUGAUUAUGUAUUACCUGUUGUUCCUAAGGGUUAUGUUAUGAAUGAAAAAGCUGCUAUGGAAAUUCUUGCUUGCAAUGAUAGAUCUGAUCUUAAGAAAUUAUUAGCUAAAUGGAAGAAGUAGUCUCUUAAUGCUAGAAUGAAACCCGAUCCUGCUUUUGCUACUUCACCUAUCUGUGUUACUGAUAAGGAUUAUGAAUUCUCUGUUGAUCCUAAUAUUAUUACUUUAGUUGAAUCUGAUCCUUUUUAUGGCCUUGAAUCUGAAACUGUUGUGGCACAUCUUACCAAGUUGAAUGAUAUAGCCACUCUAUUUACUCAUGAUGAGAAGUCUCACUAUUUAUAUAUCCUUAAGAUAUUUCCGUUCUCAUUAAAGGGUGAUGCUACGACUUGGUAUAAUUCUCUUGCUCCUAGUUGUGUGCGUAGUCCCCAAGAUAUGAUUUAUUACUUCUGUGCUAAAUAUUUCCCUGCUCAUAAGAAACAAGCUGCCUUGCGGGAAAUAUAUAAUUUUGUGCAAAUCAAAGAAGAGAGUCUCCCACAAGCUUGGGGGAGGCUUCUCCGGUUACUUUAUGCUUUGCCUGAUCAUCGACUUAAGAAAAAUGAAAUACUUGAUAUCUUUUAUAAUGGACUAACCGAUGCUUCCAGGGACCACUUGGAUAGUUGUGCUAGUUGUGUUUUCAGGGAAAGAACAAUCGACGAAGCUGAAAUACUAUUGAAUAAUAUGUUGACUAAUGAAAAUAAUUGGACUCUUCCCGAGCCAGUUCCUGAAGUAAUUCCUGAACUAAUUGAGCCAACUCCUGAGCCUAUUCCUAAACCCACUCCGAAGAAGAGAGGUGUUUUAUUUCUCAGCCCUGAAGAUAUGCAAGAGGCAAAGAAAUCAAUGAAAGAAAAAGGAAUUAAAGCUGAAGAUGUUAAGAAUUUACCACCUAUUGAAGAAAUACACGGUCUUAAUAUACCGCCUGAAGAACCUCAUUGUCUUGAUAACCCGACACAGGUAGUAAAGGUAAAUUCUCUCUAUAGAUAUGAUAAAGUUGAAAUGCCCUCUACUAAAUUUCAUAGCCCAUGCUUAGAUGAAUUUGAGUACUUUAUGGGUAGACAAGAAAGUUUUAAUGCUUAUGUUGGUAGAGAGUUAAAGAAUAAUGCUUUCGAGAUAGGACGCGUAAGUGAUAAUCUGGCUAGAGUUAAAGAUGAACUUCACCGCAUUAGCAAAUAUGCUUCUAUGGUUGCUACUCAAGCUGAGCAAGUACUCAAAGCUCAAAAUGAUUUGCUUGAUGAAUUGAAUAAUAAAAAUGACUUUGCUGUUAGAGUGGCUACUAGAACUGGUAGAAUGACUCAGGAACCUUUGUAUCCUGAAGGCCACCCUAAGAGAAUCGAGCAAGAUUCUCAAAGAAAUAAUUUAGAGGCACCUAGUUCUUCUAAAAAGAAGAAGAAGAAAAAUGAUAGAACUUUGCAUGCUUCUAGUGAACCUACUGUAGACACACCUGAGAAUCCCAAUGAUAUUUCUAUUUCUGAUGCUGAAACUCAAUCAGGUGAUGAACAUGAACCUAGUGAUAAUGUUAAUGAUAAUGUUCAUGUUGAUGUUCAACCUAGCAAAGACAAUGAUGUAGAGAUUGAACCUGCUAUUGAUCUUGAUAACCCACAAUCAAAGAAUCAAAGUUAUGAUAAGAGAGAUUUUGUUGCUAGGAAGCACGGUAAAGAAAGAGAACCAUGGGUUCAGAAACCCAUGCCCUUUCCUCCUAAACCAUCCAAGUCAAAGGAUGAUGAGGAUUUUGAGCGCUUUGCUGAAAUGAUUUGACCUAUUUUCUUACGUAUGCGCUUAACUGAUAUGCUUAAAGUAAAUCCUUAUGCUAAAUAUAUGAAGGAUAUCAUCACAAAUAAAAGAAAGAUACCGAAAGCUGAAAUUUCCACCAUGCUUGCUAAUUACACUUUUAAGGGUGGAAUACCAAAGAAACUUGGAGAUCCGGGUGUUCCAACUAUACUAUGCUCUAUUAAAAGAAAUUAUGUUAGAACUGCUUUAUGUGAUCUUGGAGCCGGUGUUAGUGUUAUGCCUCUCUCUUCAUAUCGUAGACUUUAAUUAAAUAAGUUGACACCUACUGAAAUAUCUUUGCAAAUGGCCAAUAAAUCAACUGCUAUACCUGUCGGUAUUUGUGAGGAUGUGCCUGUUGUGGUUACAAAUGUCACUAUCUUAACGGACUUUGUUAUUCUUGAUAUUCCCGAGGACGAUAGUAUGUCUAUUAUCCUUGGUAGACCUUUUCUUAAUACUGUAGGGGUUGUUAUUGAUUGCAACAAAGGCAAUGUCACUUUUCAUGUUAAUGGUAAUGAGCAUACGGUACACUUUCCGAGGAAACAAUCUCAAGUUCAUAGCAUCAUUCUAUUGAAAAAGUUCCAACUAUCAUUUUUGGAGGUUUUGAAUUUCCUCUCCCUACUGUCAAGAAAAAGUAUGAUAUUCUUGUUGUUGGGAAUUUUCAUAUCCCCGUUGAGGUAACUUAGUGUUAUUCAAAAUUUCUCCGGUUCCGUGUUAAUUGGAAUGAGUUUGUUAACAAAACUUGAUCAACCUUGUUAGCGGGUUCAUUUUGAUGAUCACGAGAUGGAUGAAACUAGAAGGCACAACCUUCUGUACCCUCCUUUUACUUUUUGUUAUUUGGAAUAAAUAAAGCAAAAAUAGUAUUAUCUGUCUGUUUCCUGAUUUAUCCGUGCAAUAAAAAAUAGUCCGAAAAUAAAAGUGCUCCAAAUGCCCUGCAAAUUUAGUAUGAUUUUUUCUGGAAUAUUUGAGGAUUUUAGGCACUGAAAACACUUCAGGAGGGCUAAGCACCAGGCCACGAGAGAGGAGGGCGCCCCCCCUGUAGGGCGUGCCCCCCUUGUUGGGGAACGUAGUAAUUUCAAAAAAAAUCCUACGCACACGCAAGAUCAUGGUGAUGCAUAGCAACGAGAGGGGAUAGUAUGUCCAUGUACCCUCGUAGACCGAAAGCGGAAGCAUUAUGACAACGCGGUUGAUGUAGUUGUACGUCUUCACGAUCCGACCGAUCCAAGUACCAAACGUACGGCACCUCCAAGUUCAGCACACGUUCAUCUCGAUGACGAUCCCCGGACUCCGAUCCAACAGGGUGUCGGGGAUGAGUUCCGUCAGCACGACGGCGUGGUGACAAUGAUGAUGUUCUACCGGCGCAGGGCUUCGGCUAAGCACCGCUACGAUAUGACCGAGGUGGAAUAUGGUGGAGGGGGGCACCGCACACGGCUAAGGAACGAUCACGAAGAUCAACUUGUGUGUCUAGAGGUGCCCCCUGCCCCCGUAUAUAAAGGAGGGAGGGGGGAGGUGCGGCCGGCCCCCUAGGGGUGCGCCUGGAGGAGUCCUACUCCCACCAGGAGUAGGACUCCCUCCUCUUGCCUUGGUGGAGAAGGAAAGGGGGGAGGGGAAAGAGGAAAGGGGGGCGCCGCCCCCCCCCCUUCCUUGUCCUAUUCGGACUAGGGGGGAAGGGGGCGCGCGGCCUGCCCUGGCCGGCCCUCCUCUUCUCACUCAUGGCCCAUGUAGGCCCAUUAACCCCCGGGGGGAUUCCGGUAACCCCCCGGUACUCCGGUAAAAUCCUGAUUUCACCCGGAACGUUUCCGAUAUCCAAAUAUAGGCUUCCAAUAUAUCAAUAUUUAUGUCUCGACCAUUUCGAGACUCCUCGUCAUUUCCGUGAUCACAUCCGGGACUCCGAACAACCUUCGGUACGUGAAAACUUAUAAACUCAUAAUAAAACUGUCAUCGUAACGUUAAGCGUGCGGACCCUACGGGUUCGAGAACUAUGUAGACAUGACCUAGAACUGUUUCCGGUCAAUAACCAAUAGCGGAACCUGGAUGCUCAUAUUGGCUCCUACAUAUUCUAUGAAGAUCUUUAUCGGUCAAACCGCAUAAAUACAUACGUUGUUCCCUUUCUCAUCGGUAUGUUACUUGCCCGAGAUUCGAUCGUCGGUAUCUCAAUACCUAGUUCAAUCUCGUUACCGGCAAGUCUCUUUACUCGUUCACGUAAUGCAUCAUUCCGUAACUAACUCUUUAUCUAUAUUGCUUGCAAGGCUUAUAGUGAUGUGCAUUACCGAGAGGGCCCAGAGAUACCUCUCCGACAAUCGGAGUGACAAAUCCUAAGCUCGAAAUAUGCCAACCCAACAUGUACCUUCGGAGACACCUGUAGAGCUCCUUUAUAAUGACCUAGUUACGUUGUGAUGUUUGGUAGUACACAAAGUGUUCCUCCGGUAAACGGGAGUUGCAUAAUCUCAUAGUUGUAGGAACAUGUAUAAGUCAUGAAGAAAGCAAUAGCAACAUACUAAACGAUCAAGUGCUAAGCUAACGGGAUGGGUCAUGUCAAUCACAUCAUUCUACUAAUGAUGUGAUCCCGUUAAUCAAAUGACAACUCAUGUCUAUGGUUAGGAAACAUAACCAUCUUUGAUUAAUGAGCUAGUCUAGUAGAGGCAUACUAGUGACAAUAUGUUUGUCUAUGUAUUCACACAUGUAUAAUGUUUCCGGUUAAUACAAUUCUAGCAUGAAUAAUAAACAUUUAUCAUGAAAUGAGGAAAUAAAUAAUAACUUUAUUAUUGCCUCUAGGGCAUAUUUCCUUCAGUCUCCCACUUGCACUAGAGUUAAUAAUCUAGAUUACACAGUAAUGAUUCUAUCACCCAUGGAGUCUUGGUGUUGAUCAUGUUUUGCUCGUGGAAGAGGCUUAGUCAACGGGUCUGCAACAUUCAGAUCCGUAUGUAUCUUGCAAAUCUCUAUGUCUCCCACCUAAACUUGGUCCCGGAUGGAAUUGAAGCGUCUCUUGAUGUGCUUGGUCCUCUUGUGAAAUCUGGAUUCCUUUGCCAUGGCAAUUGCACCAGUAUUGUCACAGAAGAUCUUCAUUGGUCCCGAUGCACUAGGUCUGACACCUAGAUUGGAAAUGAACUCCUUCAUCCAGACUCCUUCAUUUGCUGCUUCCGACGCAGCUAUGUACUCCGCUUCACAUGUAGAUCCCGCCACAACGCUUUGUUUAGAACAGCACCAACUUACAGCUCCACCGUUUAAUAAAAACACGUAUCUGGUUUGCGAUUUAGAAUCGUCUGGAUCAGUGUCAAAGCUUGCAUUGACGUAACCAUUUACGACUAGCUCUUUGUCACCUCCAUAAACGAGAAACAUAUCCUUAGUCAUUUUUAGGUAUUUCAGGAUGUUCUUGAACGUUGUCCAGUGAUCCACUCCUGGAUUACUUUGGUACCUACCUGCCAAGCUUAUUGCUAAGCAUACGUCAGGUCUGGUACACAACAUUGCAUACAUGAUAGAGCCUAUGGCUGAAGCAUAGGGAACAUCUUUCAUUUUCUCUCUAUCUUAUGUGGUGGUCGGGCAUUGAGUCUUACUCAACUUCACACCUUGUAAUACAGGCAAGAACCCUUUCUUUGCCUGAUCCAUUUUGAACCUUUUCAAAACUUUAUCAAGGUAUGUCCUUUGUGAAAGUCCAAUUAAACAUCUUGAUCUAUCUCUAUAGAUCUUGAUGCCCAAUAUAUAAGCAGCUUCACCGAGGUCUUUCAUUGAAAAACUUUUAUUCAAGUAUCCCUUUAUGCUAUCCAGAAAUUCUAUAUCAUUUCCAAUUAACAAUAUGUCAUCUACAUAUAAUAUCAGAAAUGCUACAGAGCUCCCACUCACUUUCUUGUAAAUACAGGCUUCUCCAAAAGUCUGUAUAAAACCAUAUGCUUUGAUCACACUAUCAAAGCGUUUAUUCCAACUCCGAGAUGCUUGCACCAGUCCAUAAAUGGAUCGCUGGAGCUUGCACACUUUGUUAGCACCUUUUGGAUUUACAAAACCUUCUGGUUGCAUCAUAUACAACUCUUCUUCCAGAAAUCCAUUCAGGAAUGCAGUUUUGACAUCCAUUUGCCAAAUUUCAUAAUCAUAAAAUGCAGCAAUUGCUAACAUGAUUCAGACAGACUUAAGCAUCGCUACGGGUGAGAAAGUCUCAUCGUAGUCAACCCCUUUAACUUGUCGAAAACCUUUUGCAACAAGUCGAGCUUUGUAGACAGUUACAUUACCAUCAGCGUCAGUCUUCUUCUUGAAGAUCCAUUUAUUUUCAAUGGCUUGCCGAUCAUCGGGUAAGUCAACCAAAGUCCAUACUUUGUUUUCAUACAUGGAUCCUAUCUCAGAUUUCAUGGCUUCAAGCCAUUUUGCGGAAUCUGGGCUCAUCAUCGCUUCCUCAUAGUUCGUAGGUUCGCCAUGGUCAAGUAACAUGACUUCCAGAAUAGGAUUACCGUGCCACUCUGGUGCGGUUCUUACUCUGGUAGACCUACGAGGUUCAGUAGAAACUUGAUCUGAAGUUUCAUGAUCAAUAUCAUUAGCUUCCUUACUAAUUGGUAUAGUUGUCACAGGAAGUAGUUCUUGUGAUGAACUACUUUCCAAUAAGGGAGCAGGUACAGUUACCUCAUCAAGUUCUACUUUCCUCCCACUCACUUCUUUCGAGAGAAACUCCUUCUCUAGAAAGGAUCCGAAUUUAGCAACGAAAAUCUUGCCCUCAGAUCUGUGAUAGAAGGUGCGGCCGGCCCCCUAGGGGUGCGCCUGGAGGAGUCCUACUCCCACCGGGAGUAGGACUCCCUCCUCUUGCCUUGGUGGAGAAGGAAAGGGGGGAGNNNNNNNNNNNNNNNNNNNNNNNNNNNNNNNNNNNNNNNNNNNNNNNNNNNNNNNNNNNNNNNNNNNNNNNNNNNNNNNNNNNNNNNNNNNNNNNNNNNNNNNNNNNNNNNNNNNNNNNNNNNNNNNNNNNNNNNNNNNNNNNNNNNNNNNNNNNNNNNNNNNNNNNNNNNNNNNNNNNNNNNNNNNNNNNNNNNNNNNNNNNNNNNNNNNNNNNNNNNNNNNNNNNNNNNNNNNNNNNNNNNNNNNNNNNNNNNNNNNNNNNNNNNNNNNNNNNNNNNNNNNNNNNNNNNNNNNNNNNNNNNNNNNNNNNNNNNNNNNNNNNNNNNNNNNNNNNNNNNNNNNNNNNNNNNNNNNNNNNNNNNNNNNNNNNNNNNCUAUUUGGACUAGGGGGGAGGGGGCGCACGGCCUGCCCUGGCCGGCCCUACUCUUCUCCCUCAUGGCCCAUGUAGGCCCAUUAACCCCCGGGGGGGUUCCGGUAACCCCCCGGUACUCCAGUAAAAUCCUGAUUUCACCCGGAACGUUUCCGAUAUCCAAAUAUAGGCUUCCAAUAUAUCAAUCUUUAUGUCUCGACCAUUUCGAGACUCCUCAUCAUGUCCGUGAUCACAUCCGGGACUCUGAACGACCUUCGGUACAUCAAAACUUAUAAACUCAUAAUAAAACUUUCAUCGUAACGUUAAGCGUGCGGACCCUACGGGUUCGAGAACUAUGUAGACAUGACCUAGAACUGUUUCCGCUCAAUAACCAAUAGCGGAACCUGGAUGCUCAUAUUGGCUCCUACAUAUUCUACGAAGAUCUUUAUCGGUCAAACCGCAUAACUACAUACGUUGUUCCCUUUGUCAUCGGUAUGUUACUUGUCCGAGAUUCGAUCGUCGGUAUCUCAAUACCUAGUUCAAUCUCGUUACUGGCAAGUCUCUUUACUCGUUCACGUAAUGCAUCAUUCUGUAACUAACUCAUUAGCUACAUUGCUUGCAAGGCUUAUAGUGAUGUGCAUUACCGAGAGGGCCCAGAGAUACCUCUCCGACAAUCGGAGUGACAAAUCCUAAUCUCGAAAUACGCCAACCCAACAUGUACCUUCAGAGACACCUGUAGAGCUCCUUUAUAAUUACCCAGUUACGUUGUGACGUUUGGUAGCACACAAAGUGUCCCUCCGGUAAACGGGAGUUGCAUAAUCCUAUAGUUGUAGGAACAUGUAUAAGUCAUGAAGAAAGCAAUAGCAACAUACUAAACGAUCAAGUGCUAAGCUAACGGGAUGGGUCAUGUCAAUCACAUCAUUCUACUAAUGAUGUGAUCCCUUUAAUCAAAUGACAACUCAUGUCUAUGGUUAGGAAACAUAACCAUCUUUGAUUAAUGAGCUAGUCUAGUAGAGGCAUACUAGUGACAAUAUGUUUGUCUAUGUAUUCACACAUGUAUCAUGUUUCCGGUUAAUACAAUUCUAGCAUGAAUAAUAAACAUUUAUCAUGAAAUGAGGAAAUAAAAAAUAACUUUAUUAUUGCAUCUAGGGCAUAUUUCCUUCACCCCUGUCUUGUGGGCCCCUGGUGGCUCCCCUCCACUUAUGCCAGCACCCACACACUCCAUCUUCUACCCAAAAAAAUCCCCAUCCAGUUCAUGCCCGAGUUCUAGCUCGUUUUUCUGCGAUUUUCGAUCUCUUAGCUCAAAGCUCCAUUCACAAAACUGCUUUGGGAGAUUGUUACUUGGUAUGUGACUCUUCCAUUGGUCCAAUUAGUUUUUGUUCUAGUGCUUUAUUCAUUGAAAAUCCUUGCUGCCUUGGUGACCCUGUUCUUGAGCUUGCAUGUUAAAUUUUUUGAGGUCCCAAGUAAUUCCAAUGCAUGAUAUAGGCUUCAGGCACUUGUAGGAGUAGUUGCUAUCAAUCUUGUUUAGUUUUAUCCGCUUUUAUUUUGAAGUUACUAAAAUUUCAGAAAUUUUCAGAAAAAGAAAUAUGCUUAGAAGAAUGUACCAAGGUGGUUCCUUGGCAAAGAAAGGGCCAAGAAUUGCUAUACGUGAACAAGAUAUUAAUUUGCCAAGGGACGCAAAUGUACGGGCUUGCGAGUGGCCAUCCGAUGAUUUUAUGGUCGAAGCAGGCUUCAAGGAGGAAUUUUACGCGUAUGUGCGUAAUGCCGAGCUGGAGGACUUCUUACAAGAUAAGUGUCCUCAAUAUUAUCAAUUGACUGAUUCAUUUGUGCAGAGGUUCGAAUAUAUUUCUUCGCGUAAUUCUCCUAAUGUUAUGUUUGAUAUUUAUGAUACAUCUUAUACCAUGGAUUUAGAGGAUUUUACAACUGCUUGCAAACUCCCGCAGUGGGGUAAUAUUAAUGAUCCUCCCAAAUCUGAAGUUAGAAAUUUUCUUGCUAGUAUUACUGUGGGGGAAUCUAGGGACGUAACACAAGCUACCAUAGGGAGCAUUCAUUUUCCUGCUAUACAUUACUUUGCUCUCUUUAUUGGUAAAUGCAUUAACGGUUAGGACGAAGUAAGUCACUUGUGUGCCCCUAAUCUUUGUGUCCUCAAGAGUGCUGUGUCUAAUUAUAGAGGUUAUAACUUAGGGGGCAAUAGUUGCACGUAGGUUGCAUAAUAAUAGUAAAAAAGGGAAUUUCUUUGGAGGAAUUUAUGCAACCCGUGUGGCGAAUUUUCUUAAUAUAGCUCCACGAGAGGGGGAUAUGAUUGUACCUCCUGCUUAUUUAAAUAAAGAAGCUAUGUUUGAUCAUCAAUUUCUUGAGAGGAAUGAACAAUUCCUCCAUUAUCGACUAAUCUAUGAUAGACGCAACGUCAUCCCUGUUACUCUUCCUGCUCCCUACCUUUUUCAUUAUCAGGCAAGAGGAAGAUAUGUUGUCACCAGGGAAGAAGCAGCUGAAUACGAGAGGGGAAUAGAGGCAGCUCGCCAACACGCUGCUGCCCAGGAGGCUGUUGCCUCUACAUCUCAGUACAACCCCAGUUUCACUUAUGGAUAUCAGCCACGCGGUCCUUGGUAUUAGACCAACUUAGGCCAAAAGCCUAAGCUUGGGGGAGUAUGUAUUUCUCAUCGACUUUACAUUCAUGUUCACACACUAGUCGUCGGUGCUCAUACUCUUUCAUUGUAUUAUCCACGUUAGUUUAAAUUUCUUUUUCUAGCUUUCCUUUUGUGUGUUUGUUAAACCUUAAGAAAAACCAAAAAAAUUAGUUAGUUUAAUUUCCUUGCUUGUAGUAGAAAUUAAAAUGAAAACCCAAAAAGAUUUCUCCUUCUUCUUUUACUUGUUGGGAGCUUUCCCGUGUAAAUAGUUUUAUUUUCUUUUCUUUCUUUUGGGGGUCGAGAAGACUAUAUCGAAAAUGCUUAGUGGCUCUUAUAUGCAUGAUUGAUUAUUUAUAUUUAGAGCCCAUAUUACUUGUCUUCUCUCUUGAGUUGAAUGCUUGCAGAUUCCAGCUUAGUCCAAUGCACGUGCACUCUUAUUAUUAUGCACUUCGUUUGGUCAUGCGAGUGAAAGGCAAUAAUGACGAUAUAUGAUGGACUUAUUGCGAUGAGAAAAGCUGGUAUGAACUCGACCUCUCUUGUUUUGUAAAUAUGAUGAUUCAUCGUUCCUGAGUCAGCUAUUAUGAAAUAAACAUAUUUACAAUGACAUUUAGAGAUUAUAGUUGCUUGUGCCAUGAUUGAUUAGCUAUGAGUUAUAAUGGUUUACCUUGCGUGCCAACAUGCUAUUAGAAUGAUUAUGAUGUGGUAUGAUGGGAUGGUAUCCUCCUUUGAAUGAAUUGAGUGACUCGACUUGGCACAUGUUCACACAUGUAGUUGAAUCAAAUCAACAUAGCCUUCAUGAUAGUUAUGUUCAUGGUGGAUUAUAUCCUACUCAUGCUUGUAUCCGGUGUGAAUUAAUUUUAAUGCAUACGACUGUUGUCGCUCUCUCAGUUGGUCGCUUCCCAGUCUUUUGCUAGCCUUCACCUGUACUAAGCGGGAAUACUGCUUGUGCAUCCAAACUCCUUAAACCCCAAAGUUGUUCCAUAUGAGUCCACCACACCUUCCUAUAUGCGGUAUCUACAUGCCGUUCCAAGUAAAUUUCUAUGUGCCAAACUCCACACCUUCAAAUGAAAUUCUGUUUUGUAUGCUCGAGCAGCUCAUGUUACAACUAGGGCUGCCUAUAUCUUACAUGCUAGGUGGGUUAUUCUCAUGAGGAGUGGACUCCGCUCCUCAUUCACGAGAAAGGGCCGGUAACCGGGAUGCCCAGUCCUAUGAUCCAAAAAGAUCAAAACAAAUCAAAAUAAUUAGACAAAACUCCCCCAGGGUUGUUGUAUGUUGGAGGCACUCAUUGUUUCGAGCAAGCCAUGGAUUGAUGCUUGUUGGUGGUUGGGGGAGUAUAAACCUUUACCAUUCUGUUUGGGAACUGCCUAUAAUGCAUGUAGUAUGGAAGAUACAGCCAUCUCAUAGUUGUUGCGUUGACAGUGAAAGUAUGCCGCUCAAAAUGUUAUUCAAUCUCUAUUUUAAAAUCGAGCUCUGGCACCUCUACAAAUCCCUGCUUCCCUCUACGAAGGGCCUAUCUAUUUACUUUUUAUGUUGAGUCAUCACCCUUCUUAUUAAAAGCACCCGCUGGAGAGCACACUGUCAUUUGCAUUCAUUAUUAUUGGUUUAUAUUGGGUAUGACUUGACUGGAUCUCUUUUACCAUGAAUUACAAUGUUUAGUCAGUCCUUGAUCUUUAAAGGUGCUCUGCAUUUAUGUUUUGCGGUCUCGGAAAUGGCUAGCGAGAUACCAAUUUGUUAUAUCAUGUUAUGAUUAUUUUGAGAAAGUGUUGUCACCCGAGUUUGAUUAUUAUGACUCGCUAGCUGAUUAUGCUAUUGAUAUGAGUAAUGUGAGACCUAUGUGUUAUUGCGAGUAUGGUUAGUUCAUAAUCUUUGCUGAAACUUGAAUGCUGGCUUUUGAUGUUACAACAACAAGGGCAAACAGAGUUUGUAAAAGUUUUUCUUUAUCACUUUGAGUUUGUCAACUGAAUUGCUUGAGGACAAGCAAAGGUUUAAGCUUGGGGGAGUUGAUACGUCUCCAACGUAUCUACUUUUCCAAACACUUUUGCCCUUGUUUUGGACUCUAACUUGCAUGAUUUGAAUGAAACUAACCGGGACUGACGCUGUUUUCAGCAGAACUGCCAUGAUUUUGUUUUAUGUGUAGAAAAGAAAAGUUCUCGGAAUGUCCUGGAAAUACACAGAGGCACUUUUCAGAUUUAAUAAGAAUUUUUGGUGAAAGAAUCAAGGUCUGGGGGCCCACGGGCUGUCCAUGAGACAGGGCCCCCCCUAGGGGCGCGCCCUCCUAUCUCGUGCCCCCCCCCCCCUGAUCUCCUCCGACCUCAACUCCAACUCCAUAUAUACCGUCUCGGGGAGAAAAAAAUCAAGGAGAAAGUUUCAUCGCUUUUCACGACAUGGAGCCGCCGCCAAGCCCUAAUCUCUCUCGGGAGGGCUGAUCUGGAGUCCGUUCGGGGCUCCGGAGAGGGGGAUUCGUCGUCGUCGUCAUCAUCAACCAUCCUCCAUCACCAAUUUCAUGAUACUCACCGCCGUGCGUGAGUAAUUCCAUCGUAGGCUUGCUGGACGGUGAUGGGUUGGAUGAGAUUUACCAUAUAAUCAAGUUAGUUUUGUUAGGGUUUGAUCCCUAGUAUCCACUAUGUUCUGAGAUUGAUGUUGCUAUGACUUUGCUAUGCUUACUGCUUGUCACUAGGGCCCGAGUGCCAUGAUUUCAGAUCUGAACCUAUUAUGUUUCCAUGAAUAUAUGUGUGUUCUUGAUCCUAUCUUGCAAGUCUAUAGUCACCUAUUAUGUGUUAUGAUCCGACAACCCCGAAGUGACAAUAAUCGGGAUACUUCUCGGUGAUGACCGUAGUUUGAGGAGUUCAUGUAUUCACUAUGUGUUAAUGCUUUGGUCCGGUUCUCUAUUAAAAGGAGGCCUUAAUAUCCCUUAGUUUCCACUAGGACCCCGCUGCCACAGGAGGGUAGGACAAAAGAUGUCAUGCAAGUACUUUUCCAUAAGCACGUGUGACUAUUUAUGGAAUAAAUGCCUACAUUACAUUGAUGAAUUGGAGCUAGUUCUAUAUCACCCUAUGUUAUAACUAUUGCAUGAGGAAUUGCAUCCGGCAUAAUUAUCCAUCACUAGUCCAUUGCCUACGAGCUUUUCACAUAUUGUUCUUCGCUUAUUUACUUUUCCGUUGCUACUGUUACAACUACUACAAAAACCCAAAAACAUUUACCUUUUCUAUUGCUACCGUUACCAUUACUAUCAUACCACUUUUGCUACUAAACACUUUGUUGCAGAUACUAAGUUAUCCAGGUGAGGUUGAAUUGACAACUCAACUGCUAAUACCCAAGAAUAUUCUUUGGCUCCCCUUGUGUCGAAUCAAUAAAUUUGGGUUGUGCUUCACCCUCGAAAGCUGUUGCGAUCCCCUACACUUAUGGGUUAUCAAAGUACUUGCUAGAGGUCUCAUACCUCUCGACAUGGGCAUGAGCCUGAAAUACCAAUUUCAGAUCUUGGAACAUCUCAUAUGCUCCAUGGCGUUCAAAACGUUUUGGAAGUCCCGGUUCUAAGCUGUAAAGCAAGGUGCACUAAACUAUCAAGUAGUCAUCAUACCGAGCUUGUCAAACAUUCAUAACAACUAUAUCACUCCUGCAACAGGUCUGUCACCUAGUGGUGCAUCAAGGAUAUAAUUCUUCUGUGUAGCAAUGAGGAUAAUCCUCAGAUCGCGGACCCAGUCUGCAUCAUUGCUACUAUCAUCUUUCAACUUAGUUUUCUAUAGGAACAUAUCAAAAAUAAACGGGGAUCUACAACAUGAGCUAUUGAUCUACAACAUAAUUUGCAAAUACUAUCAGGACUAAGUUCAUGAUAAAUUAAGUUCAACUAAUCAUAUUACUUAAGAACUCCCACUUAGAUAGACAUCCCUCAAGUCAUCUAAAUGAUACGUGAUCCAAAUCAACUAAAGCAUGUCCGAUCAUCACGUGAGAUGGAGUAGUCAUCAUUGGUGAACAUCUCUAUGUUGAUCAUAUCCACUAUAUGAUUCACGUUCGACCUUUCGGUUUCAAGUGUUCCGAGGCCAUAUCUGUAUAUGCUAGGCUCGUCAAGUUUAACCCGAGUAUUCCGCAUGUGCAAAACUGGCUUGCACCCGUUGUAUUUGAACGUAGAGAUUAUCACACCCGAUCAUCACGUGGUGCCUCAGCACGAAGAACUUUUGCAACGGUGCAUACUCGGGGAGAACACUUAUACCUUGAAAUUUUAGUAAGGGGUCAUCUUAUAAUGCUACCGCCGUGCUAAACAAAAUAAGAUGCAUAAAGAUAAACAUCACAUGCAAUCAAAAUAUGUGACAUGAUAUGGCCAUCAUCAUCUUGUGCUUUUGAUCUCCAUCACCAAAGCAACGUCAUGAUCUCCAUCGUCACCGGAUUGACUUGAUCUCCAUCGUACCGUCAUGGUCGUCUUGCCAAUUAUUGCUUCUACGACUAUCGCUACCGCUUAGUGAUAAAGUAAAGCAAUUGCAUGGUGUUUGUAUUUCAUACAAUAAAUCGAAAACCAUAUGGCUCCUGCCAGUUGCCGAUAACUUCUACAAAACAUGAUCAUCUCAUACAACAUCUUUAUAUCACAUCAUGUCUUGACCAUAUCACAUCGCAACAUGCCCUGCAAAAACAAGUUAGACGUCCUCUACUUUAUUUGUUGCAAGUUUUACGUGGCUGCUACGGGCUUCUAGCAUGAACCGUACUUACCUACGGCACAAAAACCACAACGAUGAUUUAUCAAGUUUGCUGUUUUAACCUUCACAAGGAUUGGUCGCAGUCAAAUUUGAUUCAACUAAAGUUGGAGAAACAUACACCCGCCAACCACCUUUAUGCAAAACUAGUUGCAUGUCUACCGGUGGAACCGGUCUCAUGAACACGGUCAUGUAAGGUUGGACCAGGCCGCUUCAUCCAACAAUAUCGCCGAAUCAAAAUAAAACGUUGGUGCUAAGCAGUAUGACAAUCACCGCCCACAACUCUUUGUGUUCUACUCGUGCAUAUCAUCUACGCAUAGACCUGGCUCAGAUGCCACUGUUGGGAAACGUAGCACACAAUUUCAAAAAAAAUCAUGCGCUCACGCAAGAUCUAUCUAGGAGAUGCAUAGCAACGAGAGGGGGAGAGUGUGUCCACGUACCCUCGUAGACCGAAAGCGGAAGUGUUAGCUUAAUGAUACGUCUCCAACGUAUCUAUAAUUUUUGAUUGCUCCAUGCUACUUUAUCUACUGUUUUGGACUAUAUUGGGCUUUAUUUUUCACUUUUAUAUUACUUUUGGGACAAACCUAUUAAUCGGAGGCCCAGCCCAGAAUUGCUGUUUUUUUGCCUUUUUUAGUAUUUCGAAGAAACAGAAUAUCAAACAUAGUCCAAACGGAAUGAAACCUUCGGGAUCGUGAUUUUCCAACCGAACGUGAUCCAGGAGACUUGGACCCUACUCCAAGAAGUGUCCCAGGAGGUCACGAGGGUGGAGGGCGCCCCCCUACCACCUGGGCCCCUCGGAGCUCCACCGACGUACUCCUUCCUCCUAUAUAUACCUACGUAUCCCCGAACGAUCAGAACAGGAGCCAAAAACCUAAUUCCACCGCUGCAACUUUUUGUAUCCACGAGAUGCCAUCUUGGGGCCUGUUCCGGAGAUCCGCCGGAGGGGGCAUCCACCAUGGAGGGCUUCUACAUCAUCACCAUAGCCCCUCCGAUGAAGUGUGAGUAGUUUACUUCAGACCUUCGGGUCCAUAGCUAGUAGCUAGAUGGCUUCUUCUCUCUUUUUGGAUCUCAAUACAAUGUUCUCCCCAUCUCUCGUGGAGAUCUAUUCGAUGUAAUCUUCUUUUUGCGGUGUGUUUGUUGAGACCGAUGAAUCGUGGGUUUAUGAUCCAGUAUUAUCUAUGGAAAAUAUUUGAUUCUUCUCUGAAUUCUUUUAUGUAUGAUUUAGUUAUCUUUGCAAGUCUCUUCGAAUUAUCUUUUUGGUUUGGCCAACUAGAUUGGUAGUUCUUGCAAUGGGAGAAGUGCUUAGCUUUGGGUUCAAUCUUGCGGUGUCCUUACUCAGUGACAAAAAGAGUUGCAAGGCACGUAUUGUAUUGUUGCCAUCGAGGAUAACAAGAUGGGGUUUUUAUCAUAUUGCAUGAAUUUAUCCCUCUACAUCAUGUCAUCUUGCUUACGACGUUACUCUGCUUUUACUUAAUACUCUAGAUGCAUGCUGGAUAGCGGUCGAUGAGUGGAGUAAUAGUAGUAGAUGCAGAAUCAUUUCGAUCUACUUGUUUUGGACGUGAUGCCUAUAUACAUGAUCAUCGCCUAGAUAUACUCAUAACUAUGCUCAAUUCUGUCAAUUGCUCAACAGUAAUUUGGUCACCCACCGUAGAAUACUUAUGCUCUCGAGAGAAGCCACUAGUGAAACCUAUGGCCCCCGGGUCUAUUCUCAUCAUAUCAAUCUAUAUCACUUUAUUUACUUGCUUUUUACUUUGCCUUUACUUUUUACUUUGCAUCUAUCUAUCAAAAAUACAAAAAAUAUUAUCUCUAUCAGAUCUCACUCUCGUAAGUGAGCGUGAAGGGAUUGACAACCCCUAAGCGUUGGUUGUGAGUUGCUAUCGUUUUGUGUAGGUACGAGGGACUUGUGCGUAGUCUCCUACUGGAUUGAUACCUUGGUUCUCAAAAACUGAGGGAAAUACUUACGCUACUUUACUGCAUCAUCCUCUCCUCUUCGGGGAAAUCCAACGCGGUGCUCAAGAGGUAGCAAGAAGAAUUUAUGGCGCCGUUGCCGGGGAGGCUCACGCAAGCAAGUCAACCAUACCAAGUACCCAUCACAAUCCCUAUCUCUCGCAUUACAUUAUUUGCCUCUCGUUUUCCUCUCCCCCACUUAACCCUUGCCGUUUUAUUUUCCCUCUCUUUCCCAAUCUCCUCCUCUUUUUCGCUUGUCUCUUGUUUGCUUGUGUCUCCAUGUGCCUUCUUUUUGCUUGCAUCUUCGAUUGCUAAAAGUUUAUGGAUCCUCAUCCGCUUGCUAAUCUCUUUAAGAGAUCCAAUUAUGUUGAACCUAUUGCUAGUGAGUUGAGUGCAGUAUAUUAUCUUUAUGAGGUUUUUCUUGAAAUUCGUGAAUCUGAAAAUUGUGAUGAAGUACUUUAUGAAGCAAUUCACGAUAGAUCUUUGAAUAAAAAUCAUGAUUGCAAUGAUUUUGUUAUAAAUUCUAUUGAUGUAAAUUGUGCUAAUAAUAUGCAAAACUCUAAGCUUGGGGAUGCUAGUUUUGCUAUGUCUACUACUUGUUGCAAUGAUCAUGAUUGGGGUGAUUCUUCUUUUGAUCUUGAAAAUUUAUUUAAGCCCCGUGAUGAAUAUGAGAUUGAUAAUAUUGUUUGCAAUGAUAUUGAAAGUGGGUUCGGAAGAGUGUCAACUCUAGAUCCCACAUAUUUGGAUAAUAUUCAAUCUUAUGAAAUUUUUGAUAAAAGUGGGUUUGGAGAGGUCAUGACUUUAGUUAAUGUUAAUCCCACUAUUUCGGAAGAGUGUCAACUUUGCAUGCAUGUGGAUCGUGUUGAAAAUAUUUUAUGUGAUAGCUAUUUUGUUGAAUUUGCUUAUGAUCCCACAUGUAAUUAUUAUGAGAGAGGAAAAUAUGGUCGUAGAAAUUUUGAUGAUAAUAAAUUACCUCUCGUUAUGUUGAGAUUGCUAUUGUUUCUUUCCGCCUCCUUGCAUAUGCUAGUUUUUGCUUGCCUUGAUAAUUUGUUUGCCUAUAAGAUGCCUAUGCAUAGGAAGUAUGUUAGACUUAGAUGUGUUUAUCACGUGUUUUAUGAUGCUCUCUUUGUUCUUCAAUUCUUGUCUUUCUUGUGAGCAUCAUUGAAAUAUCUAUGCCUAGCUAGGGGCGUUAAACGAUAGCGCUUGUUGGGAGGCAACCCAAUUUUAUUUUGUGUUUUUUGUUUUUGCUUCUGUUUAGGAAUAAAUAAUACAUCUACCUUCUUUUUAUAUGUGGUUUUAUGUUUUAAUUAGUGUUUGUGCCAAGUAGGACCUAUAGGAUAACCUACGAUGAUAGUUGAUUUGAUUCUGCUGAAAAAACAGAAACUUUGCGCCCACGAAUAUAAUUUUGUUAAAUCACAGGAAGGUGAUUUUGCGUUUAUUCUUUUUGAUGCUGAUCAAUAAACAAAUUUUCCAGGAAUUCAUAUUUUGGUAGAAUUUUUAGAGUUCCAGAAGUUUGCGUCAGUUACAGAUUGCUACAGACUGUUCUGUUUUUGACAGAUUCUGUUUUUUGUGUGUUGUUUGCUUAUUUUGAUGAAUCUAUGGCUAGUAAAUUAGUUUAUAAACCAUAGAGAAGUUGGAAUACAGUAGGUUUAACACCAAUAUAAAUAAAGAAUGAGUUACUUACAGUACAUUGAAGUAGUCUUUUGUUUUCUUUCUCUAACGGAGCUCACGAGAUUUCUGUUGAGUUUUGUGUUGUGAAGUUUUCAAGUUUUGGGUGAAUUAUUUUGAUGGCUUAUGGAACAAGGAGUGGAAAGAGCCUAAGCUUGGGGAUGCCCAUGGCACCCCCAAGAUAAUCCAAUGACACCAAAAAGUCAAAGCUUGGGGAUGCCCCGGAAGGCAUCCCCUCUUUCGUCCACUUCCAUCAGUAAUUUACUUGGAGCUAUAUUUUUAUUCACCAACAUGAUAUGUGUUUUGCUUGGAGAGUCUUGUAUUAUUUGUGUUUUUGCUUGUUAGUUUACCACAAUCAUCCUUGCUGUACACAUCUUUUGAGAGAGCCAUACAUGAAUUAGAAUUUGUUAGAAUACUCUAUGUGCUUCGCUUAUAUCUUUUGAGCUUGAUAGUUUUGCUCAUAGUGCUUCACUUAUAUCUUUUGAGCGUGAUAAUUUUUGCUCUAGUACUUCACUUAGAUCUUUUAGAGCACGGUGGUGGAUUUGUUUUAAAGAAACUAUUUGAUCUCUCAUGCUUCACUUAGAUUAUUUUGAGAGUCUUUAAUAGCAUGGUGAUUUGCUUAAUGUUAAUAUACUUGGUGUUCAAGAUAUGUGAAACUUUCUUUUGAGUGAAUUGAAUACUAAGAUAAGUUUGAUGCUUGAUAAUUGUUUUGAGAUAUGGAGGUGAUAAUAUCAUAGUCGUGCUAGUUGGGUGAUUAUGAAUUUGAGAAAUACUUGUGUUGAAGUUUGCAAAUCCCAUAGCAUGCACGUAUGGUUAAAGUUAUGUAACAAAUUUGAAACAUGAAGUGUACCUGGCUUGUGCAUCCUUAUGAGUGGCGGUCGGGGACGAGCGUUGGUCUUUUCCUACCAAUCUAUCCCCCUAGGAGCAUGCGCGUAAUACUUGAAUUUUUGAUGACUUCUAAAUUUUUGCAAUAAGUAUAUGAGUUCUUUUGACUAACGUUGAGUCCAUGGAUUAUACGCACUUUUACCUUUCCGCCAUUGCUAGCCUCUUCGGUACCGUGCAUUUCCCUUUCUCACCUUGAGAGUUGGCGCAAACUUCGCCGGUGCAUCCAAACCCCGUGAUAUGAUAUGCUCUAUCACACAUAAACCUCCUUAUAUCUUCCUCCAAACAGCCACCAUACCUACCUAUUAUGGCAUUUCCAUAGCCAUUCCGAGAUAUAUUGCCAUGCAACUUCCAUCAUCAUCAUGACAUGCAUUACUUUUGUCAUAUUGCCAUUGCAUGAUCUUGUAGUUGACAUCGCAUUUGUGGCAAAGCCACCAUGCAUUAUUUUUCAUACAUGUCACUCUUGAUUCAUUGCACCAUCCCGGUACACCGCCGGAGGCAUUCAUAUAGAGUCAUAUUUUGUUCUAAGUAUUCGAGUUGUAAUCCUUGUGUUGUAAUCAAUAGAAGUGUGAUGAUCAUCAUUAUUAGAGCAUUGCCCAAAUAAAAAAAGAGAAAGGCCAAAAAUAAAAAAAGGGCAAUGCUACUAUUUCUUUUUCCACACUUGUGCUUCAAAGUAGCACCUUGUUCUUCAUGUAGUCUCAUAUAUUGUGCUUCAAAGUAGCACAUUGUUCUUCAUGUAGUGAGUCUCAUAUAUUGUGCUUCAAAGUAGCACCUUGUUUUUCAUGUAGUGAGUCUCAUAAGUUGCCUUUUUAUACUAGUGGGAAUUUUUCAUUAUAGAACUUGGCUUGUAUAUUCCUAUGAUGGGCUUCCUCAAAUGCCCUAGGUCUUCGUGAGCAAGCAAGUUGGAUGCACACCCACUAGUUUUCUUUUGUUGAGCAUUCAUAGCUCUAGUGCAUCCGUUGCAUGGCAAUCCCUACUCCUCAUGUUGACAUCAAUUGAUGGGCAUCUCCAUAGCCCGUUGAUUAUCCUCGUCAAUGUGAGACUUUCUCCUUUUUGUCUUCUUCACACAAUCACCAUCAUCAUAUUCUAUUCCACCCAUAGUGCUAUAUCCAUGGCUCACGCUCAUGUAUUGCGUGAAGGUUGGAAAAGUUUGAGAUUAUUUAAGUAUGAAACAAUUGCUUGGCUUGUCAUCGGGGGUAUAGAAGUUGGGAACAUCUUUGUGUGACGAAAAUGAAGCAUAGCCUAACUAUAUGAUUUUGUAGGGAUGAACUUUCUUUUGCCAUGUUAUUUUGAGAAGACAUGAUUGCUUUGAUUAGUAUGCUUGAAGUAUUAUUAUUUUUGUGUCAAUAUGAACUUUUGUCUUGAAUCUUUCGGAUCUGAAUAUUCAUAUCACAAUUAAGAAGAUUUACAUUGAAAUUAUGCCAAAGUAUCACUCCGCAUCAAAAAUUCUUUUUUUAUCAUUUACCUACUCGAGGACGAGCGGGAAUUAAGCUUAGGGAUGCCUGAUACGUCUCCAACGUAUCUAUAAUUUUUGAUUGCUCCAUGCUACUUUAUCUACUAUUGUGGACUAUAUUGGGCUUUAUUUUCCACUUCUAUAUUACUUUUAGGACUAACCUAUUAACCGGAGGCCCAGCCCAGAAUUGUUGUUUUUUGCCUUUUUUAGUAUUUCGAAGAAACAAAAUAUCAAACGGAGUCCAAACGGAAUGAAACCUUCGGGAUCGUGAUUUUCCAACCGAACGUGAUCCAGGAGACUUGGACCCUACUCCAAGAAGUGUCCCAGGAGGUCACGAGGGUGGAGGGCGCCCCCCCUGGGCACGCCCCCCUACCUCGUGGGCCGCUCGGAGCUCCACCGACGUACUCCUUCCUCCUAUAUAUACCUACGUAUCCCCGAACGAUCAGAACAGGAGCCAAAAACCUAAUUCCACCGCCGCAACUUUCUGUAUCCAUGAGAUCACAUCUUGGGUCUAUUCCGGAGCUCCGCCGGAGGGGGCAUCCACCACGGAGGUCUUCUACAUCAUCACCAUAGCCCCUCCGAUGAAGUGUGAGUAGUUUACUUCAGACCUUCGGGUCCAUAGCUAGUAGCUAGAUGGCUUCUUCUCUCUUUUUGGAUCUCAAUACAAUGUUCUCCCCCUCUCUCAUGGAGAUCUAUUCGAUGUAAUCUUCUUUUUGUGGUGUGUUUGUUGAGACCGAUGAAUCGUGGGUUUAUGAUCCAGUAUUAUCUAUGGAAAAUAUUUGAUUCUUCUCUGAAUUCUUUUAUGUAUGAUUGAGUUAUCUUUGCAAGUCUCUUCGAAUUAUCUUUUUGGUUUGGCCAACUAGAUUGGUAGUUCUUGCAAUGGGAGAAGUGCUUAGCUUUGGGUUCAAUCUUGCGGUGUCCUUACUCAGUGACAGAAAGAGUUGCAAGGCACGUCUUGUAUUGUUGCAUUCGAGGAUAACAAGAUGGGGUUUUUAUCAUAUUGCAUGAAUUUAUCCCUCUACAUCAUGUCAUCUUGCUUACGGCAUUAUUCUGUUUUUACUUAAUACUCUAGAUGCAUGCUGGAUAGCGGUCGAUGAGUGGAGUAAUAGUAGUAGAUGUAGAAUCGUUUCGAUCUACUUGUUUUGGACGUGAUGCCUAUAUACAUGAUCAUCGCCUAGAUAUACUCAUAACUAUGCUCAAUUCUGUCAAUUGCUCAACAGUAAUUUGUUCACUCACCGUAGAAUACUUAUGCUCUCGAGAAAAGCCACUAGUGAAACCUAUGGCCCCCGGGUCUAUUCUCAUCAUAUCAAUCUAUAUCACUUUAUUUACUUGCUUUGUUUUUACUUUGCCUUUACUUUUUACUUUGCAUCUAUCUAUCAAAAAUACAAAAAAUAUUAUCUCUAUUAGAUCUCACUCUCGUAAGUGACCGUGAAGGGAUUGAAAACCCCUAAGCGUUGGUUGCGAGUUGCUAUCGUUUUGUGUAGGUACGAGGGACUUGUGCGUAUUCUCCUACUGCAUUGAUACCUUGGUUCUCAAAAACUGAGGGAAAUACUUACGCUACUUUACUGCAUCAUCCUCUCCUCUUCGGGGAAAUCCAACGCAGUGCUCAAGAGGUAUCACUUAACGCGGUUGAUGUAGUAGAACAUCUUCUUGAUUCAACCGAUCAAGCACUGAAUGUACGACACCUCCUAGUUCUGCACAUGUUCAGCUCUAUGACGUCCCUCGAACUCUUGAUCCAGUAGAGGUACGAAGGAUUAGAUGAGUUCCGUCAGCACGACGGCGUGAUGACGGUGAUGGUGAUGUGAUUCGUGCAGGGCUUCGCCUAAGCACUACGACAAUAUGACCGUGGGAGUAAACGGCGGAGGGGGGCACCACACAUGGCUAAGACAAUUGAUGUCCUAAGAGCUGCCCCCACCCCCGUAUAUAAAGGAGGGAGAGGGGAGGAGGCCGGCCUAGGGCGCGCCAAGUGGGGAGGAGUCCCACUUGGACUCCUAGUGGGAUUUGGCCCCCCUUUUCCUUCUACCAGAGGGGGGAAAGGUGGAAGGAAAGGGAGGGGGAGAAGGAAAGGGGGUGCCACCCCCUUCCCUAGUCCAGUUCGGCGUCCUCCCUUGUGGGGGGUGCACCAGCCCCUUGUGGGCUGGUUAGCCUCGCCCAUAUGGCCCAUAUCUUCCAUCGGGGGUUCCGGCAACCCCUCCGACACUCCGGUAUGUACCUGAUACACUCAGGAACCCUUCCGGUGUCUGAAUACUACCUUCCAAUAUAUCAAUCUUUACCUCUCGACCAUUUCAAGACUGCUCGUCAUGUACGUGAUCUCAUCCGAGACUCCGAACAACCUUCGGUCACCAAAACAGAUAACUCAUAUAAUACUUAUCGUCAUCGAACGUUAAGCAUGCGGACCCUACGGAUUCGAGAACUAUGUAGACAUGACCAAGACACCUCUCGGGUCAAUAACCAAUAGCGGAACCUGGAUGCUCAUAUUGGUUCCCACAUAUUCUACGAAGAUCUUUAUCGAUCGAACCGCAAUGUCAACAUACGUUACUCCCUUUGUCAUGGGUAUGUUACUUGCCCGAGAUUCGAUCGUCGGUAUCUUCAUACCUAGUUCAAUCUCGUUACCAGCAAUUCCCUUUACUCAUUCCGUAAUGCAUUAUCCCGCAACUAACUCAUUAGUCACAUUGCUUGCAAGGCUUCAUAUGAUGUAGAUUACCGAGAGGGCCCAGAGAUACCUCUCCGAUACUCCGAGUGACAAAUCCUAAUCUCGAUCUAUGCCAACCCAACAAACACCUUCGGAGAUACCUGUAGAGCAUCUUUAUAAUCACUCAGUUACAUUGUGACGUUUGAUAGCACAAAAGCCAUUCCUCCGGUGUCCGAGAGUUGCAUAAUCUCAUAGUCGGAGGAAUAUAUAUAUAUAUAUAUAUAUAUAUAUAUAUAUAUAUAUAUAUAUAUAUAUAUAUAUAUAUAUAGAAGAAAGCAGUAGCAAUAAAACUGAACGAUUAUUAUGCUAAGCUAACGGAAGGGUCUUGUCCAUCACAUCAGUCUCCUAAUGAUGUGAUCCCGUUCAUCAAAUGACAAGACAUAUCCAUGGCUAGGAAACUUAACCAUCUUUGAUUAACGAGCUAGUCUAGUAUAGGCAUACUAGGGACACAGUGUUUUGUCUAUGUAUUCAGACAUGUAUCAAGUUUCCGGUUAAUACAAUUCUAGCAUGAAUAAUAGACAUUUAUCAUGACUCUAGAAAAUAUAAAAUAACAACUUUAUUAUUGCCUCUAGGGCAUAUUUCCUUCAGUUCAACCUUCUUUAGGAGACAUCUAUUUCUCAAUUGACUAUAAGUUGACUCAAAACGGUUUUGUAAAUUUAUAUAUGAAUGCCAGAAAACAAUUCACAAGUUUCUUCAUACUGAAUAGUAUUGAGUGUGGUGUCAUAGUUUGUUCACAUUAGUUCAAAAAUGCACUAGUACUCCAGAGUUCAAAAAAUCACGGAAUCUUGCAUGGAUCUCAAGUUGGUUCACCAAUUAUGUCUAUUGAGGGUUAUGAAAUUCUAAGACUAUGGAGAAUUAGGAAAAAUCACUUUUUAAAUUACAAAAACUUAAAUCGAGAUUUGUAUAAUUUCAUUGAGUUGCAUAGUCGAUCCAAAAUCAGUUUGUAUAAUUUAUUGUAAGUUUCCAUAUCUUACUAGCACAAGGUUUUGGCACAUGAAAGUACAUUGUAUCCAUCAUUUCCAUAGCAUUCACCAUACGCAACAACACGAUAUAUUAAGGUGGCAGUAACUUUCUUCAAAUCUGUAACCACACCAUUCACAGCUAAUCUUGCACAUAGCAACAUUGUUGGGCGUUGGUGUCUGGCAUGCUCAGAAAACCGAACAUGAAGUCCACAAUCCAG